rnacentral:rRNA from 1 species
AGAAAAAUUAAAUUAUAAUAUUAGAGUAGUAAAAGUUAUAGUCUUAAAACUUAAAAAAUUUGGCGGUAUUUUAGUCUAUUCAGAGGAAUUUGUCCUGUAAUUGAUAAUCCCCAUUAAACCUUACUUAAUUUAUUAAUAUGUAUAUCGUCGUCAAUUAAGAAUAUAUUAUAAAGUAAAUAAUUUUCUAUAAAUCUUAUUAGAUUUUAUGUCAGAUCAAGGUGCAGUUUAUAAUUAAGAAGAGAUGAAUUACAAUAAAAUAAUUUAAACGGAAAUUUUAUUUAAAAUUAAAAUUUAAGGUGGAUUUGAAAGUAAAAUUAAAAAGAGAAUUAAUUUGAUUUUAGCUCUAAAAUAUGC